ACUCUUGUCUCAAAGGUUAAGCCAUGCAUGUCUAAGUACAAAUUUUAAUACAGUGAAACCGCAAAAGGCUCAGUAUAACAGCUAUAAUUCCUUUGAUCAUACUAUCAGUUACAUGGAUAACUGUGGAAAAUCUAGAGCUAAUACAUGCAAUUACUAGAACCGUAAGGGACUAGUGCGCUUAUUAGGCAAACCAUUUAGGUCUUUAUUGACUUAAUAUUAUGGUGGAACUCUAAAUAAGUUUGCUGAUCGAAUGGUCUUGUACCGUCGACAGGUCAUUCAAAUAUCUGCCCUAUCAACUAUUGAUGGUAGUAUAGAGGACUACCAUGGUUGCCACGGGUAACGGGGAAUCAGGGUUCGAUUCCGGAGAGGGAGCCUGAGAAAUGGCUACCACAUCUAAGGAAGGCAGCAGGCGCGUAAAUUACCCAAUGCCAGUACGGCGAGGUAGUGACGAAAAAUAACAAUACAGAACUCAAUUACGAUGUUCUGUAAUUGGAAUGAAUUAAAUUUAAAUCCUUUAAUGAGGAUCAAGUGGAGGGCAAGUCUGGUGCCAGCAGCCGCGGUAAUUCCAGCUCCACUAGAGUAUAUUAAAGUUGUUGCGGUUAAAACGUUCGAAGUUGAAAUUUGUCUAACACUUUAGGUACCCCCGCAAGGGUGAUUUUGUACGUCUUUAGAUGUUAUGACUAGAUUUGGCACAAUGUACAUGUUAAAGUGUAUAUUAUUUAAUUGUUUUGUGCUUCCUUUAAUUAGGUGGUGUAUCAUAGCAAGCCAAACAAAACUCUACCUUGAACAAAUUAGAGUGUUUAUCAAUCAGCUUAAUUAUAGCUAAUAUAACUGUGCAUGGAAUAAUGGAAUAAGACCUAGGUCUCUAUUUAUUUGGUUUAAUUGACCAAAGGUAAUGAUUAAUAGAAGUAGUUGGGGGCGUAAGUAUAACGGUGCGAGAGGUGAAAUUCGUAGACCAUCGUUAGACUAACUGAAGCGAAAGCAUUCGUCAUGGAUAUUUUCAUUAAUCAAGAACGAAAGUUAGAGGAUCGAAGGCGAUUAGAUACCGCCCUAGUUCUAACUGUAAACUAUGUCAGCUAGCAAUUGGAUGUCGCUACUAUUAGGUGCUUUCAAUCGCUUUCGGGAAACCAAAGCUAGGUUCCGGGGGAAGUAUGGUUGCAAAGUUGAAACUUAAAGGAAUUGACGGAAGGGCACCACCAGGAGUGGAGCCUGCGGCUUAAUUUGACUCAACACGGGAAACCUUACCAGGUCCAAACUCAAUAGAGUAAGACAGAUUAAUAGCUCUUUCUCAAAAUUAAGGGUAGUGGUGCAUGGCCGUUCUUAGUUCGUGGAAUGAUUUGUCUGGUUAAUUCCGUUAACGAACGUGACUCAAACUUAUUAAAUAGAUACCUAUCAGAUCAAAGUAGUCUGUUGAGAUCUGUUGUGCAGCGGCGAAGGCUGUUGUGCAAUGAAUUUAGGAUUACCUGAUAGUUUGUCAUCUAUAGUAUUAUAGUUGAUUUUAUCUUCUUAAUGGGACAAUUUGUGUUUAGCAAAGUGAGAUUGAGCAAUAACAGGUCCGUGAUGCCCUUAGAUGUCCUGGGUUGCACGCGCGCUACAAUAAUCACUUCAGCGUGUUACUUGGUCCGAAAGGAUUGGGAAAUCACUCAAAUGUGCUUUUAGUUGGGAUUGUGGAUUGCAAUAUUCACAUGAACUUGGAAUUCCCAGUAAAUGCUAGUCAUCAACUAGCGUUGACUAAGUCCCUGCCCUUUGUACACACCGCCCGUCGCUAUUACCGAUUGGUUGUUUAGCGAGGCUCUCGGAGGUGAUUGAAGAAAGCAUUUAAUCGUGCCAUUAUUCGAUUGCUGAAGUUUUCCAAACUUAACGAUGAGAGAUAUA
rnacentral:rRNA from 1 species